AACGAACGCUGGCGGCAGGCUUAACACAUGCAAGUCGAACGCAUCCUUCGGGGUGAGUGGCAGACGGGUGAGUAACACGUGGGAACGUACCUUUCGGUUCGGGAUAACCCAGGGAAACUUGGGCUAAUACCGGAUACGUCCUUAGGGAGAAAGAUUCAUUGCCGAAAGAUCGGCCCGCGUCUGAUUAGCUAGUUGGUGAGGUAACGGCUCACCAAGGCGACGAUCAGUAGCUGGUCUGAGAGGAUGAUCAGCCACACUGGGAC
rnacentral:rRNA from 1 species